AAGACUGCUCAUAACCCUUAUGGGUUAUGUCAAAAUGGAUUUCAAACUAGGGAAAUUUGCUCUAAUCAAGAAGAUAAAUUGUCAUCAAAGAAACAAGCAAGACUUAAAAGCAUGCGAGAAGGAAAACAAAGAAUACACCGGAUAUCACACAUUAUAUGGAUUAAGUGUUGAAGAGAACAUGAAUUGUUGAGUAUUUCGAGUCUGAUGAUCUUGUGUUACAGAAUUGAAAAUUCACGUCUUAAAAAUUAAGAGGAUAAAAUCAAUGCAAGAAAAUUAUUAAGUGUGUUCAUCGAAUAAUUAUCUCUGUCAUAUGAUUGUAAGUACUACAUAGUCAUCAACUUCAAAUAAGGAGUAUGUUUAGAGAUACAUUAACAGAUGCAAGUGAGUUGAGCAUAUUUAACGCAAGACUUAACUUUGCCAAGUCUGAUUUAACUGAAGUUGCCAAGAGAGUUAAACAUAAUACAUAUUAUGAAUAAAUAAAUAUUUAU